CUCAAAAUGCGGUCAGCGGGGUCUUGGUGAAAGAGGUUAACAAAGUCCAACAACCUAUCUACUAUGUAAGCAAGGUCCUACUAGAUGCGGAAACAAGGUAUACUUUGGCGGAACAACUUGCCCUUACCUUGGUUAUAGCAGCACGAAAACUCCGACAGUAUUUUCAGUCUCACCCUAUUGUGGUGCUCACUAAUCAACCACUUAGGCAUAUACUUCAGAAGCCGGAUGUAUCGGGAAGACUGAUGAAAUGGGCAAUCGAGCUUGGAGAAUUUGACAUAGAAUUCAAACCACGCCCAUCUAUCAAAGCCCAAGCACUAGCUGACUUCAUUGCAGAACUAACCCCUAGGCCUCGGGAGCCAGGUAACAGCUCGAGCAUGAGUACUAAUUUGGACACUUGGCAAAUUUUUGUGGAUGGAGCAUCGAACUCCUCGGGCUUGGGCGCAGGGGUCAUCAUCAUCAGCCCUGACAAACAAACAGAGAUCCAAUGCGCUCUUAGGUUCGAGUUUGAAGCAACCAACAACGAGGCCGAGUAUGAGGCCGUCGUUAUUGCUCUGGAGCUAGCCCUUGAGCUCGAGUUCGUAAAGAUAUUCAGCGAUUCACAACUGGUGGUCGGACAGAUUGAAGGAUCAUUUGAAAGGAAAGACGAGAAAAUGAGUUUGUACUCUAUGAAGGUUCAAGAUCUUCAACGAAAAUUCAAGAGUUGUGAAAUUGCAAAAAUUGCUCGAAAGGACAACGGAAAAGCCUACGCAUUAUCCAGGCUUGUGUUCAUUGGGGUAGACGGCCUUGACAGAACAGUUCACAUUAAAAUCAUCACAGAACCUGCAUCAGUCAAAUCCUCGACAUCAUGGACAUUGACAAUGAACCAUCCUGGAUGGACCCAAUCAUAGAAUUCAUCACAAGUAGAAAUCUACCAAGCGAUGCCAGGUUGGCUAAAAGCAUCAGAGCUCGAGCUCUUAGGUACUGCAUGAUCAGCGGUGUCCUCUUUCGCAGAAGUAUUACUCUUCCAUACCUAAGGUGCCUCAGACCAUCAGAGUCAUCCCAGGCCCUUGCUGAAGUUCAUGAAGGUGUGUGCGGGAAUCAUCAAGGAGUCAGGGCCUUGGCCUUUAAACUCGUACAAUAUGGGUACUAUUGGCCAACUAUGAAAAAAGACACCUCAGAAUAUGUUAAAAGAUGUGAUAGGUGCCAGAGGUUUGGUAAUGUUAUCUACUCACCAGCCGAAGACCUCACCAACAUUAACUGUUCGGCCCCAUUUGAACAAUAGGGAGUUGAUAUCCUCGGCCCCUUUCCUGUGGCAAGAGGUCAAUUAAAAUUUGUUGCUGUAGCAGUAGAGUACUUCACAAAAUGGGUAGAGGCAGAACCUCUCGCCACAAUAUC
rnacentral:lncRNA from 1 species